UUUUUAGCGCUUGGGGCAAUGACGCAGCUAAUGAGGUACUAACCGAGGCGCGUCUAUUGCUGGUCGAAAACUAUUUCCAAACCCCUUUCUGGGCCUAAGCUUGUUUUGAGCCUUCGAGAAUUUCUGGAAGGUCUCCCUUCGGAG
rfam:Brassica napus, WGS project CCCW01000000 data, contig: 18345